AUGGGGGGAGCCCCUCGGUACUCACAGCUGUGUCACAUUGAGGGACACCCGGGGCACAGCACUGAGGUCCUGUGCGGUGCAGUCCACGGCCCUUCCCCAGCACCGGCACCGCCCCGGGAACAGCUCCAGCGCUGCGGGACCAGAGGGGAUGUGCUGAGGGGGAAACAGGGAGCUCCGUGUGGUGGGGAGGGGGUGGCGGUCCCGAAGGUGGCUUACAGCAGGUGUCCGCCUCGUCCUCCGCCACUGUCCCGCUGUUCCCAGCCAGCAUGUCGCCCAGCACCCCCAGCCAGCCCGUGGUGUCCACUGCGGGCAGGAGCACCGUCAGGCACGGCUCCAUCCCGCGGUGCUCGGCAGCUCUGCGCGGUGCCUGCUGCUGGAGCAGAACUCCACAGCCUCGGGCAGGGGGUGGGGAAGGAAGGAGGCAGCAGGCUCCAGCCCCAUGGCUGUGCGGGGCAGAGCGAGUUCCAUCCGGCCGCGUUGUGUGCAUCCACAUGCAACCCCAGUAAACAUUUCCUUCCACACUUUCUCCCGUCUCACCAACCUGCCCUGAGCCAGGCACUGCACCCACCGCUCCCAGUGGUGUUUUGCUCAGUCUCCGUCUCUUUCACACUCUGCUUUCCAGAAACCCUAAGCAAAGAGCCCCCCAGCGGCACAGCGUGUUGUGCAAAGAAGGGAAUUCACUUUGUUUCCUUACAUCUGCUGCAGCCAAGUGCCCCGACAAAGGGUGCUGAGCCCCCCGUUCCUCUGCCUCUGCACACAGCCCACACAGCCAUGAGGGCUGCAGCACCGCGGGUCUCCUGCAUGUGGGGGAGCCCUGGACAGGGGAUCUGCUACGUGGGCAUGCACUACAGUGCCAGAACCAGGACACCAUGGCAGAUCCAGGAUUCCUCCCGCUGCUGUUGCUCCCAGGGGAGGCUCCAGCUCUGCCCCAAUGCCCUCACGGUCCCAGCUCCUGGCACUUCCGUCCCGAGGACACCCCUCCUUCCCAGGGUCUUGCUAAUUACCGCAGUUCUCCUCAUCAGCACCGUUUUCACAGUCGUCCAUCCCGUUGCAGUGCAGGGCCUGGGGCAGGCAGAUGGAGAGGUUGCCGCAGGGAAACUGCCCCAGGGGACACACGUACCCGUCCCUGGAGGGAGUCAGAAGAGGCUCUGCAGAGGGAAGAGGAGGUGCUCAGUGCUCCAGGGGCUGCGUCCUGCCGCGUACCCACCUGUCCCCAUGCCACCUGCCAACCCUCAGCAAAGGGCUCUGCUCCCUGUGUGUCCCCUGAUGCCCAGACAUGGCAGGCACUCUCCCACAGGCAGAUAUUCCCCCACGGAUGGACAUUCUCCCAGUGCCUUACCCCAGCCCUCUGUCCCACUGCGGUGCCUGGCUGCCUCAGGCUCCCAUUCUGCCAAGCCCCUUCCAUCAGAGCCAUUGAGGUACCCAGCUCCAGGGCCCCGUUCAUUAGCAUCCUGCAAUUAUCCCUGGCAGAGGCAUGCCUCAGAUCCAGCUAAAUGUUUCCACACCUGCUUUGAUCAGGCGCUGGGAAGUGGCAGCAGGCAGGCACCAGGAGGGAGCAGGGCUGUGUGCAGGGCCCAGCCUGUCACUCAACAUUUCCUUCAGCUGUCAGCCUAUUAA
ensembl:lncRNA